rnacentral:tRNA from 2 species
GCCCCCAUAGCUCAGGGGAUAGAGCACCGCCCUCCGGAGGCGGGGGCGCAGGUUCGAUUCCUGCUGGGGGCA